rnacentral:tRNA from 1 species
GCGUGGCCAGGGUGUGGGCAUCAUCGCGGCCGCCACCCGCGGCGGUCAGCGCAACCUGCUGACCCCGGGCGCGGAGCCCGAGGUGCCGCA